GACUUAUUUCAGUUUUGAAAAAGCAGCGUAUUUCUUUUCUACUUAGUUCAAACCUAAAGGAAAUUGUUUGGUUCAAAAUGAAGCCUAUUGGCUUAAAGGGUGUCAAGGUUUGUGUGCCUAAGAGCUCUGUAUGCCUGGAAAGUCAACCAUGUUCGUUAAGCCAGAGUAGAAGGAAAGUCAAGCUAAUGGAUGAACGGCCAUACACUCUUACAGUUGGCAAUGGAGACUACUUUUGGACAAAUAAAGACACAUUGUGGAAUUAUGUGCAGGCUCUUUCUGACCAGGGAGCAGAGAAACAUGAAGGGACAAGUCAGUCCUCUGGGAUCACUGAUCAAGAGAAAGAGUUGUCUACCAGUGCUUUCCAAGCUUUUACAGCUGGAAGUUACGAUGCCUGUCUACAGCACCUUGCCUGCCUACAAGAUGUAAACAAAGAUGAUUAUAAAAUAAUUUUGAAUACAGCAGUGGCUGAGUUUUUUAAAAAUAACCAAACAACAACAGAUAGUUUGAGACAAACACUUAACCAGCUGAAGAAUCAGGUCCACUCGGCUGUUGAAGAAAUGGAUGGAUUAGAUGAUGUAGAGAACAGCAUGUUGUAUUACAAUCAGGCAGUCAUUCUUUAUCAUCUGCGGCAGUACACAGAAGCGAUAGCAGUUGGUGAAAAGCUUUACCAGUUCAUAGAACCUUUUGAAGAAAAAUUUGCCCAGGCGGUGUGUUUUUUGCUUGUAGACCUUUAUAUAUUAACCUAUCAAGCUGAGAAAGCUUUGCAUCUUCUUGCUGUCCUAGAAAAAAUGAUAUCACAGGGUAACAAUAACAAAAAUGGAAAAAAUGAGACUGGUAAUAACACCAACAAAGACGGAUUUAAUCAUAAAGCUGAAAGUGGAGCCCUAAUAGAAGCUGCAAAAUCAAAGAUACAUCAGUAUAAAGUGAGAGCUUAUAUCCAAAUGAAGUCCCUGAAAGCAUGCAAAAGGGAAAUCAAGUCAGUGAUGAACACAGCUGGAAAUUCUGCACCCUCUCUGUUUCUUAAAAGCAAUUUUGAGUACUUAAGAGGCAAUUAUCGAAAAGCUGUGAAGCUAUUAAAUAGUUCAAACAUUGCUGAGCAUCCAGGAUUCAUGAAAACAGGUGAAUGCUUGAGAUGCAUGUUCUGGAAUAAUCUUGGUUGCAUUCAUUUUGCCAUGAGCAAGCACAAUCUGGGAAUUUUCUACUUUAAAAAGGCUUUACAGGAGAAUGACAAUGUUUGUGCACAGCUCAGUGCAGGCAGCACUGAUCCAGGCAAAAAAUUUUCAGGACGACCUAUGUGUACAUUACUAACCAACAAGAGGUAUGAGUUGCUGUAUAACUGUGGCAUUCAGCUUCUUCACAUUGGAAGACCUCUUGCUGCCUUUGAGUGUCUGAUUGAAGCUGUUCAGGUUUAUCAUGCAAAUCCACGCCUUUGGCUAAGGCUGGCUGAAUGCUGCAUUGCUGCAAAUAAAGGGACUGCUGAACAAGAAACUAAAGGCCUUCCAAGUAAGAAAGGAAUUGUACAGUCUAUUGUUGGUCAAGGCUAUCAUCGUAAAAUAGUUUUGGCAUCACAGUCCAUACAGAAUACUGUAUAUAAUGAUGGACAAUCUUCAGCCAUUCCAGUAGCCAGUAUGGAGUUUGCAGCCAUUUGUCUCAGAAACGCCUUGUUGCUGUUACCCGAAGAACAGCAAGAUCCAAAGCAGGAAAAUGGAUCUAAAAAUAGUAAUCAGUUAGGUGGGAACACGGAAAGCAGUGAAAGCAGUGAAACUUGCAGCAGUAAAAGCCAUGAUGGAGACAAAUUCAUUCCAGCUCCACCUUCUUCUCCAUUGAGAAAACAGGAAUUAGAAAACUUAAAAUGCUCCAUACUUGCCUGUAGUGCUUACGUGGCUCUGGCUUUGGGUGAUAACCUUAUGGCUUUGAAUCAUGCAGAUAAACUUCUUCAGCAGCCCAAGCUGUCAGGAUCACUUAAGUUUUUGGGCCAUUUAUAUGCUGCAGAAGCCCUCAUCUCUCUGGACAGAAUAUCUGAUGCCAUUACUCACUUGAACCCGGAGAAUGUCACUGAUGUUUCCUUAGGGAUCUCUUCAAAUGAGCAGGACCAAGGUUUAUUUUCAUGUUUUUAUAGGAUCAGACAAAGGUGAAAAUGAAGCAAUGGAAUCCUCUGGGAAGCGGGCCCCUCAGUGCUACCCCAGUUCGGUCACCUCUGCCAGAACCGUGAUGCUGUUUAAUCUUGGCAGCGCCUACUGCCUGAGGAGUGAAUAUGACAAAGCUCGAAAGUGUCUCCACCAGGCGGCUUCAAUGAUCCAUCCUAAAGAGGUGCCGCCUGAAGCCAUCUUAUUGGCAGUCUACCUUGAACUGCAAAAUGGUAAUACCCAGCUGGCCUUACAGAUCAUCAAAAGAAAUCAGCUGCUCCCUGCAGUGAAAACACUGUCUGAAAUGAGAAAGAAGCCAGUGUUCCAGCCUGUCCACCCGAUCCAGCCCAUCCAAAUGCCAGCCUUCACUGCACAAAGAAAGUGACAUUUUUGCUCUCAGAAAACUGUUACUUGAGACCGAGGGGAGUACUUUUGGGCCUUUUUAGUUGUAUCACAGCAAAAUGAAUAAAAGACAGAUGAUGAAAGGUGCUAGUUUUGAAGACACAAUUUUAAAAUGAUUCUAACCCCUGUGGGUUUUUUUUGUUUGUUUGGUUUUUGCUUUUUUGUUUUUUUUUUUGGGGGGGGGGGUUUGGGGGGAGGUCCUGUUUUUGUUUUUUUUGCUGGAAGCUUACUUAAAAUUAAGGAUUCACGAACUCAUUUUCAUGUUUUUCUUUAAUCUUACAUUUUGAGCCAUUAUGUGCUGUAUCCAUGUCAUAGGCAAUUAAAACAUGGUCUUAUCAGAACAA